UCAACAAUCUUGCCAUUAGUUCUCCUAC
rnacentral:sRNA from 1 species